AUCAGAAGCAGAAGCGCCCUGGUGAUUCUAUGCCACACCACCAUUCCCCAGGAAAAUGUUCUCCACUGAGACAAAAUCCUUAAAUUUUUAGAAUGGCCUUAUUAUGGAUUACAGCAAACAUCUCAGCACAUCUUUCUCAGCAAGGAUCUCAAAACAGCAUUGGGAUGGCCUUAUUAAUAGAUCCCUUACGAAAACUCAGAAAAGUUAGAGAGGCACUCAGAAUCUUCCUAAAAUAUGAAAUGUUGAAAUCUGGAUUCUUUUUUUACCAUGACUGCAAAAUGUAAGCCACUACUUGGGCUCACCUUGUUGAAUCAGAUUUCUUCUACUUUGCCAUUUUGAUGAUAUCACUCCCAGGUAUGUUUUUUUCUUUUUUUUUCCUUUUCUUUUUCCUUUCUUUUCUCUUUCUUUUUUUUUUUUUUUUUUUUUUUUGAGACAGAGUUGUGCUCCUGUUGCCCAGGCUGGAGUGCAAUGGCACGAUCUCUGUAGGCUCACUGCAACCUCCACCUCCCCAGUUCAAGCAAUUCUCCUGCCUCAGCCUCCCGAGUAGCUGAGAUCACAGGAGCCUGCCACGACGCCCAGAUAAAUUUUUGUAUUUUUUUAGUAGAGAUGGGGUUUCACCAUGUUGGCCAGGCUGGUCUUGAACUCCUGACCUCCAGUCAUCUGCCCACCUAUGCCUACCAAAGUGCUCACUCCCAGGAGAUGAAUCUAUUGCUUCCAGAGCAUGAAUACUAGAACAGAGGACAGUUGGUAAAACUGAGAUACCAUGCCAGGUAAUAGUCGGAGUUUCAGCUGGAAAAUAGAAGAUAUGUUUCCAUUGGGUCAAGCAAGAAGAGCUUGAGACAUCUCAUCGAUUACCUACAAAAACUGCCCAGAUAAGUGAGGAGACCCAUGAGAUUUGGUAUAAAUUGCUCACUGUAUGUGGGGUAACAGAAAGAAGAAUAACCCAACAUAGAAAGCCUCAAAGCAGGAAGAUACUACACAGACUUCCAAAGAAGCAGUGAGAGGACACCAUCUGAUGCUGGCUGCACCAAGAAGCCUGAAUGGCUGUCAGUGUCAGAGAGGAAAGAAGAAAGAUGAGAGGGAAAGCUAAGAAAAGGUGAGAAGAAAGGGUCAGGAGGAGAAAUGCAAAGAGACUGGGAUAAUUUUUUGGACCAUACCUUCUCUGCUGGCAGCUUACUGUGACUGCACCAUCCAAAAUUUGGUAUAAGGAUUUGGAAAUUUGACCAAUAUUUCUUAGAAGUUGACCGCAGGAAACUGAAACUGCAAAAGUAGAAACCAUGGAAAAGGGAAGACUGCUGUAUACAAUUCAGCCUCAAGGACAAUAUAUUAAUUAGCUAUUGCUACAACAGUGCUGUGUAAAGAACAAACCCAAAACACGGUGGCUUACAAAAACACAAGUCUGCAGGAGAUUUGUAGUUUACUGGGCUCAGUAGUUAUCAACUGGGCUUAGUUCCAGUCUGCAGGAUAGGAUAAGGUCAUUUUUUUUUCUUACUCGGGAGCAAAGUUGAUUACUUGGGGCAUUUUCUAUUCAUCAAAGAAGGCAGCAACAUAAAAGACCAACUCAAACCAUGCAAGUAUAUUUAAAACUGUAUUUGCAUCACAUCGACAAACAAUCCUUUCAAUAAAACAAGUCACAUGUACAAACUCAAGGCUAAUGGGGAGACCAUGUGCACUUUACAUCUUUACUGGCAGGCCUUUCUGAAUCACAUGACAAAGAGUGUGACUAAAUAGUCUGCAAAGGGGAUGGAGUGAAGACUUUGGGAAAAUGAUUAAAUCUAUCAUAGCUAACAUCUUACAUCAUGUGGAAACAUUAGAGACCUUCUACUAAUGUCAGAAACAAGAAAACAGUAUACUUGAUCUCCAGCACCGUAUUUAAUAUUGUGAUGGCAGUAUUAAUGAAUACGAUUAGACAAGAAAAUUCAUUAGAAACAUGAGAAUUGGAGGGAAAGAGGUAAAACUUUAUCAGAUUAUAUAUAAAAUCCAAAAAAUAAAAAACUACAAUAAAAACAGUAACUUAAUAAAGCAUUAAGUUGUUCAGUUAAUAUGUAAAAAUCAACAGCCUUUAUUUAUCCAACAAAAACUUAAUAGAUGAUAUUAUGGAAGACAAAAUAAUAUAUUGUAACAGCAAAAAUAAAAAUAAAAUACCUGGGUGUAAAUUUUACAAAAGAUGUCCCAAAGUUCUAUGAAGAGGAUAUUUUACACCUGAAAAACAUAAACAAAAAAUUUCAGAUUUGGAGCAGGACAAAUUGGUUAUAAGUUUCAAUUAAAACAAUAAAUAAUUAAAACUAUUAAGCAAAAUUCUGAAAAAGAAAAAUAACAAAAGGACCUGAAGGUUAGCCCUAUUAGGCAUUAAACAUAUCAUAAUGCCUCUAUUAUAACUGAGUUUGUCCAGGAAUUUAAUGAGUAAAUAGGCUAAUGUAAAACUACUGAAAACCCACAAGAGAAAUAAUUUCUUAUGAAAAUUUAGUAUAUGAUAAAUGUGGCAUCUUAAAUUAGUGAAGAGAGGGAUUUUUUUUAAUAUGAGCUAUUUUAAUAUGCUAUAUCAAAGUGCAUAAUGGAUCAUUUUUCACUUCAUUUUAGAAUAAGUUCCAAAUGCAUCAGAGAUUUGUAAAAGCAAAACAAAAAUAAUAUAAUGAGACCUUUCAAGUACUAGAUGAAAACCUGAGUGACUCUAUUUAAAAUUUUGGAAAAUAGAUUACUUUUCUGACUAUAAAAUAAAAAAUGAUAAUAGAAGCCAUGGAUAAGUUUCGCUUAAAAGAUUUUACAAUAUUUGCAUGGCAAUAAUACUAUAAGCAAAGUAAAAAUACAAAAUCAAACUGACAUCUAUUUUUUAUAACUUAUACCACAGAAAAAAAGAGUUAAUAUCUUAAAUUUGUAAAGAUUGAAUACAAUCCAAAUGUCCAUUGGUAAAGGUCUGGUUGAAUAAAUAACCACACAGUGGAAUAUUAUAUAGUUGAAAAAAAGAAUUAGGACAAUUUCUAUAUUCUGUUAGAUCUCCAGGAUAUGUUAUUAAAGAAAAAUUGCAAGCUGGAAAAAAAUAUAUGGGGAUGCUACCUUUUAUUUAAGAAAGUGGUAUUUGAAGGUCAAUGUAUAAUAAUUUAUUUAAAACAAUACAGCAAUGGCAGGAUAAGCUCUACAUUAAAAAAAAGUUUAUAGGAGGGAGAAAGCAGAGUGGAAGGCUCCCUAUGAGAAGCUAGCUUUUUAAAAAUAUACCUUAAUAUAUAGAUUUGACCUUGUAACUAGAUAAAUAUUUUAUGUAAUUUUAUUAAAAGACAAUAUUUAAAAUAUAGUUUCUCAUAAUUGAAAAUGAAAUAAAUUAUAUAAAAAAAUAGUCUGUACAGUGGUGGAAAACCAUACAGAAAAUACUAAACUAAUAAUUUAAGGUAAUUUGACUGUACUGAGAUAUACCCUGAGGACACAAUUAACUGAAACAUUUUUUAAUAUUUUGUUGGAUAUAGUAUUGAUUUUAUAAUUUUGGGGCUGUUUUGUCUCAUAAAUAAAAUGAAUAAUUAUUUGGAUAUCAUUUAAAAUGUGGAGUUUCAGCAUAUUUUAAAAGGAGAUAUAAAUGUAAGGUCAAUGAAACUAAGUAAAAUUACAUUCUGUGUUUGAAUUGAAAAAAUAUCAGAAUAAACCUAUGGUGACAUAAACAAAAGCAAAGUUGACUUCUAGCUUUGCACACUGAAAACAUCUAGAAACAAUGGCUAAUCUAAUAGUAAUGAACUCCUCUAACAUACAGAUUAUGGUCUCUAAUUACCAUUUUCUGUCAAAAAAUGAAUCAAGAAUCCUUUGCUAAUUGCAGUUGUGUCACAGUUGAUUGGAGCAUCUUGUCAUUCCAGAAAUCAAGAAAUAUCAAAAUAUCCUUACAUUAAAAGAUUCAAGACAUGAAAAUGUUUCCUGGCCAAAGACAGAACAAUUGGAGCAUCAUUAAAGAUAAUAAUUGUCACGUAUUUAUAUUUAUUAAAAAUUUUAAAUGCAUUAGUUUAUAAUAGGUUAAAAAACAAAAAAUAAAAAAUACUUUAUCAUUUUUCCACAUGUUUUUCCAUUAUUGUAUAUUUUUGAAGGAUAUCAGAAAAUUAUCUUGUUAUUUUGAAAGUUGGUAAAUAAAGAGAAAGAAUACAGUAUUUAUUUUGCCUUUCAUAAUAAUCUAUAUCUCAGGUUAACUAUUUGUUGAUAAGUUUCUUUUUCUAAUAGCAUUUGUUUCAGCUAAUAAAGGAUUAGGAAUGACAGAACUAGAAUAUGACAAUUUUUGUAACUGCUCAUGGAUUUAUGGAUCUAGGCAAUAAUCAUCUAUGGCUACCAACAUCCCAAAGAGACAAACCAGCAUUGGAUAGUUCAUGAAGAAAUCAUACAACACCAUGUGUGAAGUUAUCUUGGGAAACAAUGCACCCUGAAUCAUAUUGAGCCUUUAGAUCUAAGUACUAUUUAAUAAGAAACCAUUACAAGCAACCAUGGAGAUGCAAUCACCAGGAGCAGCUUGUGAGGAAUUCUACAAGUCAGACAACUCUUUUUCCUCAACAAAUGACCUGCAAGGCAAAAAAAGUACAGAUGGAGAUGGAAGCCUACAAAGUAAAAGUGACUUAUGACCUAGGUAAUGGGUUGAUAGGUUCAGCAAACCACCAUGGCACAUGUUUACCCGUGUAAGAAACCUGCACAUCCUGCACAUAUAUCCAGGAACUUAAAAUAAAAUAAUGUUUUAAAAGUGACUUAUGAAUGUGCUUUAUUUGAAUCCUGACUCAAAUGAGUAAGCUGUAAAAAACAGAAGAAUUUUCUAUUCUUUCCCUACCAAGUCAGCCUUACUUAUUUAUUUUAUCUUCCUAUUCAUAAUAAGCACUAUAUAUGUGUUCCCUAUUCUAAUAUAAAACUACCUUUUCUUUUUUCCAAAUUAGUAAGUAUAGGACUUGAGCAUUCAAAAGACUCUAAGUAACAUAAAAACAGAAAUUUUAUCUAUUUUGUUUACUGUUUUGUCUUCACUGCUGAGAACAUUAUCUGGAAAUUAGUAGAUGCUUAAUUAAUAUCUGUUGAGUGAAUGACUCAUAUUUAGUUACAUUUAGAGUUGGAAUUUGUCCCAGGUUUUCUGAUUUCCAACCUAGCAUAAGUGCCCCUUCACCACUUUACUAGAUGCUAUCCAUAACCUGCCCUGAUAAUCCCUUGACCCACCUUAGUUUAUGCAUCAAGGCAGUUUCCAGCAUGGUCUCAGCUUCCCACCCCAAGCAUCCAGUUUUUUCUUCUUCCUUGCCUGAAGGUUUUCUUCAGUGGGUAAGUAGGCACAAUCCAGAAUUGCGUAACCCUAGGAAAGCCUCAGGAGCAAACCUUAACAAAUGGGAAAUUGGAGUCAGUGUAUAAAUGCUCUAGCCUUUCAACCCUCCGAUGAGGUUUUUUUUUGAGAUAUGUUUCACUUGGUGUCCUAGAGGAUUCCUGAGAGACCUGAACCCAGUUCUCCAUGACAAUUACGUGAUCAGGGAAACUUUAACAUAUCUGUGCCUUAUCCCUAUAACUUAUGUAAUAACAGCUUUCUGUAGUGGAAAGAAAACAGCUGUUCCAAAAUCUUCAUAUAUAUUGAAUCUCCACAAGUCCUUACAAAAUAAGUGCUAACUUAGGUAUUUUUAAUUUAGAGAUGAGAAAACUGAAGCUCCAAGUGGCUAACUAAUUUAUCCAGUACUUAUACCCGUAGAGUAGAUACUGUUGGGCCAGGAUUUCUAUUCAGCUCUGUGAAAAUACAGAUGCCAUGAACUUUCAGCCAUAGAGUGGUGCAUUCCUGCAUUUCUAGACUAAGGUGGCCAAAAGAACUUAAUUAAAUUAUUGGUUCAAUCGUUCACUGAAGAAUCUCAAUGUCAUGCAGUUCAUUAACAAGCAUCUGAUUCUUCAGCAUUCUGGUGCUUGUACUGAAGAAAAGAUUUAUAUGUUAUAAAUCACUACUCCUUGUCUUUUCAUUAUUUCUCUCAAGUUCUUAAGGGGAAUGAUGAUGAAGAAUAGAAAAAUAGGGAGAAAUAGUAGAAGGAUAAAAUCAAAACCUUUUAACAGUUUUAGCCUCAAAGCUAUUUUGAAGAUAAAUGACAUAUCUAGGGUACAGAGUUAAUCUUUGACAAAAGACAAGCCCCUUGUGGGAUUUUCUAUUUGCUUGUUUUACUGAUUAUUUUUAUUUUGUCCUGACAGGAUUUUGCACCAUCAGAUACAUUUUGAUAUUAGAAGAUAAAGAGAUUGGCCCGAAACUGGGAUGGAGGAGAAGCAGCCAAAGAGUUGUUCUGUUUCUUAAGUUACUUUGAAGGUUGUACACUUUUAAUAUUCAUUUUGAGGAAUAAAUAAUUUAGACAUCCAAUUAAAUAC
rnacentral:lncRNA from 1 species